UACGUAGGUGGCAAGCGUGUCCGGAUUUAUUGGGUUUAAAGGGUGCGUAGGCGGCUUGAUAAGUCAGUGGUGAAAGCCGAUCGCUUAACGAUCGAACUGCCAUUGAUACUGCCAGGCUUGAGUAUAGUUGAGGUAGGCGGAAUUGACAGUGUAGCGGUGAAAUGCAUAGAUAUUGUCAAGAACACCAAAUUGCGAAGGCAGCUUACUAAAGUAUAACUGACGCGUGAGGCAACGAAAAGUGCGGGGAUCAAACAGG
rnacentral:rRNA from 1 species